rnacentral:tRNA from 1 species
AGCUGGCUUUUUAUGAUUAGUUUCGACCUAAUCUUUUUUUGGCUAGGG